rnacentral:rRNA from 1 species
UACGUAGGGUGCGAGCGUUGUCCGGAAUUACUGGGCGUAAAGAGCUCGUAGGUGGUUUGUCGCGUUGUUCGUGAAAACUCACAGCUUAACUGUGGGCGUGCGGGCGAUACGGGGCAGACUGGAGUACUGCAGGGGAGACUGGAAUUCCUGGUGUAGCGGUGGAAUGCGCAGAUAUCAGGAGGAACACCGGUGGCGAAGGCGGGUCUCUGGGCAGUAAACUGACGCUGGAGGAGCGAAAAGCGUGGGGAGCGAACAGG